rnacentral:miRNA from 1 species
AGGCAGUGUCUUGUUAGCUGGUUG